AUGUUCUCUACAUCUCUACUGCUCCUGCUGGCAGCUGCUUCCUAUGUCCAUGGAGUGGAAUUGACUCAGCCCGCUGCCAUGACAGUCCAGCCAGGGCAGAGUCUCUCCAUCCCCUGUAAGGUUUCAUAUUCACUUACAAGCACUGGUGCAUGUUGGAUCCGACAACCUGCAGGAAAAGCUCUGGAGUGGAUUGGAUGUAUCUGGAGUGGUGGGAGUACAGACUACAGCGACAAACUGAAAAAUAAGUUCAGCAUCUCCAGAGACACUUCUACUAACACAGUAACAAUUCAUGGACAGAAGCUGCAAACUGAAGACACAGCUGUGUAUUACUGCGCCAGAGAGACACAGUGA